UACGGGGGGGGUAAGCGUUGUUCGGAAUUACUGGGCGUAAAGGGCUCGUAGGCGGCCAACUAAGUCAGACGUGAAAUCCCUCAGCUUAACUGGGGAACUGCGUCUGAUACUGGAUGGCUUGGAUUCGGGAGAGGAAUGCGGAAUUCCAGGUGUAGCGGUGAAAUGCGUAGAUAUCAGGAGGAACACCGGUGGCGAAGGCGGAUCUCUGGGCCAUUACUGACGCUGAGGAGCGAAAGCGUGGGGAGCAAACAGG
rnacentral:rRNA from 1 species